rnacentral:misc_RNA from 1 species
AAGUCGUAACAAGGUUUCCGUAGGUGAACCUGCGGAAGGAUCAUUAACGAGUUAGGGUCAUUUUAUGGCUCGACCUCCCAAUCCUGUGUUUAUACCACCUUUUGUUGCUUCGGCGGAUCCGUCAUGUUGAAAAGCACGACCGCCGGAGGGUCGGUCACCAUGCCGUCUCCUCUGGUCCGAGUCCGUCGAUGGCCCCAAAUUAAAUUCUUGAAAAACAUGUCGUCUAAGUACAAACAAAAAUUAAAUUAAAA